UUAGUUGAUCCUGGCUCAGAGUGAACGCUGGCUGUGUAGGCCUAACACAUGCAAGUCGAACGGCAGCACAGGAGAGCUUGCUCUCUGGGUGGCGAGUGGCGGACGGGUGAGGAAUACAUCGGAAUCUACUCUGUCGUGGGGGAUAACGUAGGGAAACUUACGCUAAUACCGCAUACGACCUACGGGUGAAAGCAGGGGACCUUCGGGCCUUGCGCGAUUGAAUGAGCCGAUGUCGGAUUAGCUAGUUGGCGGGGUAAAGGCCCACCAAGGCGACGAUCCGUAGCUGGUCUGAGAGGAUGAUCAGCCACACUGGAACUGAGACACGGUCCAGACUCCUACGGGAGGCAGCAGUGGGGAAUAUUGGACAAUGGGCGCAAGCCUGAUCCAGCCAUACCGCGUGGGUGAAGAAGGCCUUCGGGUUGUAAAAAAAAAGGGGCCCCCCGCCCCUUUUUUAUNUUUNGGGGUUUUAUCUCUCGAGGCGGGUCGGGCGUCAAAAUACAACCAAACAGGUGNGGCNAANAACACACUACAACANUUUUCCCUCCUCAAAAGGGUGUGCCCCUUUGGG
rnacentral:rRNA from 1 species